UACGAAGGGGGCUAGCGUUGCUCGGAAUCACUGGGCGUAAAGCGCACGUAGGCGGCUUAUUAAGUCAGGGGUGAAAUCCUGGAGCUCAACUCCAGAACUGCCUUUGAUACUGAUGAGCUUGAGUUCGGGAGAGGUGAGUGGAACUGCGAGUGUAGAGGUGAAAUUCGUAGAUAUUCGCAAGAACACCAGUGGCGAAGGCGGCUCACUGGCCCGAUACUGACGCUGAGGUGCGAAAGCGUGGGGAGCGAACAGG
rnacentral:rRNA from 1 species